rnacentral:rRNA from 1 species
CCCUUAGACGUUCUGGGCCGCACGCGCGCUACACUGACCAGUGCAACAAGCAUCCGUCCUUGGCCGACAGGCCCGGGCAAUCUUUGAACGCUGGUCGUGAUGGGGAUAGACUUUUGCAAUUUUUGGUCGUCAACGAGGAAUUCCUAGUAAACGCAAGUCAUCAACUUGCAUUGAUUACGUCCCUGCCCUUUGUACACACCGCCCGUCGCACCUACCGAUUGAAUGGUCCGGUGAAGCCUCCGGAUUGGCGCGCACCUCGGUGCCGCCGAGAAGUUGGCUAAACCUUACCAUUUAGAGGAAGGUGAAGUCGUAACA